GCACAAGCGGUGGAGCUAUGUUGGUUUAAUUCGAAGCAACGCGAAGACCUUACCAGGUCUUGACAUCCCGAUGCUAUUUCUAGAGAUAGAAAGUUACUUCGGUACAUCGGUGACAGGUGGUGCAUGGUUGUCGUCAGCUCGUGUCGUGAGAUGUUGGGUUAAGUCCCGCAACGAGCGCAACCCCUAUUGUUAGUUGCCAUCAUUCAGUUGGGCACUCUAGCGAGACUGCCGGUAAUAAACCGGAGGAAGUGGGGAUGACGUCAAAUCAUCAUGCCCCUUAUGACCUGGGCUACACACGUGCUACAAUGGUUGGUACAACGAGUUGCGAGUCGGUGACGGCGAGCUAAUCUCUUAAAGCCAAUCUCAGUUCGGAUUGUAGGCUGCAACUCGCCUACAUGAAGUCGGAAUCGCUAGUAAUCGCGGAUCAGCACGCCGCGGUGAAUACGUUCCCGGGCCUU
rnacentral:rRNA from 1 species